rnacentral:rRNA from 1 species
UACGUAGGUGGCGAGCGUUGUCCGGAAUUAUUGGGCGUAAAGCGCGCGCAGGCGGGAAAGUAAGUCUACUUUAAAAGUGCGGGGCUCAACCCCGUGAUGGGGUAGAAACUGCUUUUCUUGAGUGCCGGAGAGGAAAGUGGAAUUCCCAGUGUAGCGGUGAAAUGCGUAGAUAUUGGGAGGAACACCAGUGGCGAAGGCGACUUUCUGGACGGUGUCUGACGCUGAGGCGCGAAAGCCAGGGGAGCGAACGGGAUUAGAUACCCCGGUAGUCCUGGCGGUAAACGAUGGGUACUAGGUGUAGGGGGUAUCGACCCCCCCUGUGCCGGAGUUAACGCAAUAAGUACCCCGCCUGGGGAGUACGGCCGCAAGGUUGAA